ensembl:lncRNA
CGCUUUUUAACGCUCCACGUUAUGAGCCGACGAAGGCAAUGUGUUCACCGUCUCCUCUGUUAAAUACUGCAAAAUGGGAUAGGUGACUUAUCCUCUGAGCUGUUUGAUCCUCCCUCUUCACAGUGCUCAUCUGGUCCUUUGACAACAUCCUUGCAGUUCCAUCCAUCUUGUCUAAGAACUUGAGCAACACAUUCACCAAUAUGAAUGGCAGUUGAUAUGGAGGAACAAAAAUCUGUUCUCUAUCACUCCCACUGUGUGAGGGUGUUUUGGCUGCCAGCUAAGAAAUGUGAAGCAAAUUCCUCCUCUCCAAAGCUUUGUUUGCAGCAUGCGAUUCCAUCCGCUGUGGACAUUGUAAAUUGAC